rnacentral:rRNA from 1 species
UUGAAAGGGAAACGAUUGAAGUCAGUCGUACCAGCGGGAAAUCAACCUUUCGAGUGGGGUUUUGGGGUUUUGAAGAGUGUUAAGCCUUUGAGAUUUCGAAACGUUCGCUCUUUUGGUGUACUUUCUCGUAGGUAGGUUAACAUCGAUUUUGAUCAUCAUAAAAGGAUUGGAGGAAUGUAGCUUCGAUCUUGUAUUGAAGUGUUAUAGCCUUUGGUAAAUGUGAUGAUUAGGAUCGAGGAUUGCAACGAAUAUCCUUUUGGGCUAUCCGCCUGAUCUCUGAUACGUGGCCUCGGUAUUGAAAGCGUGCUUAUGAUAUCAAGGUAUUACGGUCAAAAGGUUAGAACGGAUUACAUUCGUUAAGGAUGUUGACGUA